rnacentral:rRNA from 1 species
UACGGAGGGUGCAAGCGUUGUCCGGAAUCACUGGGCGUAAAGGGUGCGUAGGCGGUCGGGUAAGUCUGAUGUGAAAUCUCACAGCUUAACUGUGAAACUGCAUUGGAUACUAUCCGGCUAGAGGAAUGGAGGGGGAGACUGGAAUACUUGGUGUAGCAGUGAAAAUGCGUAGAUAUCAAGUGGAACACCAGUGGCGAAGGCGAGUCUCUGGACAUUUCCUGACGCUGAGGCACGAAAGCCAGGGGAGCAAACGGG